rnacentral:tRNA from 1 species
AGUAGCUCAGUUGGUUAGAGCGGCGGACUGUUAAUCCAUGUGUCGUUGGUUCGAAUCCAAC